UUCGCCCCGCGACCCACGCCCCCUCCGCGAGCUUACCGUGAGGCACCUCCUCCAUUCCGUCGCCUUUGCCGCCUUCGUGGUCACCGGAACCCGCUGUCGUACAUUUCCGCCUUGUGGGCACAAUCUGAUUCUCCGACCGCGCGAAAUAAGUCUCGGAAAGGGGGCUGUGCGCACGCGCGAACCUUGGGCCGAAAGACUGGGACUCAACGUCUGUUCCUUUUCAGAGAUUUCCUAUCAUAAAUACUUCUGCAGUGCAUCUCCUAAGAACAAAGCCAUUCUUCAUGACAUCAGUGCCAUUUUCAUACCCAAGAGAUUUAAUAUCGAUGCAGUACUAGCCAAUGCAGUAUUAGCCAAUAGACAGUUUAUAUUUCAAUUUCAGUUGUUAGACCCCCUCCCCUGCUGGAUUCACUCACUGCCUGGAGUUAUUUCUCUUCGGUCUCCUUUAAUUCAGAUCAGUCCUUCUUUUUUUAGGGGGGGUCUCAUCACCUUGAUAAUUUUGACGGGUCCAGACCAGUUGUGUAAUAGAAUAUCCCAUAUUCUUGAUUUGUCUAAUCCUCCCCUCCCUCUUGCCUUGUAAUUAGAUAAAGGUUAAUUUUUCUUUUUUCCUGCAGAACACACUUGGAUAAUGUCAGUUUGUCCCGUUUUUGGUAAUGUGAAGCUUGAUCGCUUGCUAAAGGUGGUGUCUGCCCCAUUUCUCCAUUUAAUGUUUCCUUCUUCCAUUUGUAAUUAACAGGUACUCUCUGGGACCAUCUUCUUCUCUAUCAGCCUUUCACUCAGUGAUUUUAGCAGCAUUUAUAUAUAUAUAUAUAAAACUAUAGAUUAUAUAUAUGAUAAAUAUAUAUCAGUUUUAUACCCUCUCUUUUUUUCUUUUUUUUCGAAGACUCACUAUGGAUUCCUGGAUUUUUUAAAAUUGUCUUUUAUAAUCAAUUAUUAUUCUUUCUGGUCGAUUUUUUUUCCCCCAGAUGUGGCCAGUGAAGCCCCUUCAAGACAGUUCUUAUGUUCUUUGGGCACUAAUCCAGCUUCUUUGAGCAUUUUCUUGCUUUCUGAUACAAGAUGUUUCAGUCAUCCCUUCUCCCUGCUGCAGUCAUUUCUUCAGGGAGCCUUGGUUACUUUUUAGCAGACAACAGUUCAGAAACCAAGAUGUGGAUGCCACAAAUGCUCAUUGCUACUGGAGUGUCAUUGCUCACAGGUUUGGCACCUGGAAUAUUAAUGAGUGAACAAACUUUACCUAGCCCCAGACACUAAGAAUAUGGAAACGUUUAUUUAUUUAUUUAUUUUUGAGGCGGAUUCUCGCUCUGUCACCCAGGCUGGAGUGCAGUGGUGGGAUCUCGGCUCACUGCAAGCUCCGCCUUCUGGGUUCACGUCAUUCUCCUGCCUCAGCCACCCGAGUAGCUGAGACUACAGGCCACCACGCCCGGCUAAUUUUUUGUAUUUUUAGUAGAGACAGGGUUUCACCAUGUUAGCCAGAAUGGUCUCGAUCUCCUGACCUCGUGAUCUGCCCGCCUUGGCCUCCCAAAGUGUUGGGAUUACAGGCAUGAGCCACCGCACCCGGCCUCGGAAACAUUUAUUAAACAGCAGUGUAUCAGCUGCCUGUCACUACCACUAAUUAUAGCCAGCAUUUUGUAGAAUACUUACCGUUUGGCAGCUGUCAUCUUUGUGCUUUCAUGUGAAUUACCUAAUUUAUGUCCUUUCAUAGUCCUACUGUCUCCAUUUUUGGAUAAGGAAACUGAGGCUUAAAGUAAACUACUUUCCCGAGGUCGCAUGACUGGUAGCAGGGGAACCAGGGUGAUAAACUUGGUCUGUCUGGCUGCAGAGCCUGCACUUAGUAACACAUGGUCCCAGCCAGCACUGGGCUAGAUGCCAAUGAUUCCAGACUAACCUGGACCCUGCCAUCUGGAGCACAGUCUGGUCGGGAGAAGAGGACCAGAGUGAUGGGGCAUCAGCAAAGGCCUGGAGAGCAGAGAGGAAGUCACCUAUCAGCUCCCACACCUCUUGCUCCGUGAGUUCGGAUCUGUGGAUCCUACCUUGUGCCUAUUGGAUUUUAUUGCAUGGACAUCCCACAAGCGUAACAAAUAAACGUCUACAACUUCUUCUCAAG
rnacentral:lncRNA from 10 species